AGGAAUUGUCCAAAAACAAGAAGUAAAUAGUUCAUUCUUGUGAAGCUUAUGGGUGAUUGAGCAUUUUAAACUAAAAAGAAUGAUGAAACCAGUUUAUCAUUCCAUUUUGUUAAUCAGGCUGUGUGCUGCAAAAUGCAAAACAUUCCUGAUCCGAAUUUCCCGCGCUGUUUUACGGAUGUGACGUUAAAUGACGCUUCAAGCGCGUUCUCGACAAGGUUCAAACCCGGAAAAACAUUUGGAAGCUUGCUAGGUGGCGGUAAUGCGUCUUUCACUACUAGCCACGUUAAAACCCCAAACAGAAGAGGAAGAACCCUGGAAAUGGAUUCUACAACUAGCAAACGACCAAGUGCAACUCAAAGCCCACUAAAGUGGCACAAAGAAGAAGGUUUUAUCAGCGGCAUCUCGAGAGUCAAAACGAAAAUAUAAAAGUCGGUCAGGGACCCGAAUAUGUAUUGGGUACGCUCUGGAAGAAUGAGGCUGGUUCAACUCAAUUUGGGCCUGAAAAGGAUGCGGACAUGGCACAUUUUCUAGUGACCAGGUAAGUGUUGUAUUACCUGGUCUCCUUAUGUCUGCUGUAGGUUUCAGUAACGAGUAGGUAAACAUAUCAGAGCUGUAUCUCCACAAUUUAAGAAAAGAAAAAAAAACAUGGAUUUAGAUAAUACUGAUUUAGAUAAUCUAACAAAUCUUUGUGCAGAUGAACAAGAAACUUAUCUAAGCUAACGAUGUUUAGCAUAUGGCUUCCUGAUCAGUUUGAAAAAGCUAAAAGCAACUAAGGAGUAAUCAGAUCACUUCUACGUUUUGUGGACGACACACCGCUUGUGUUUGGAGAUAAAUGGAUGCUCCGUUUAUUCUGACGAGACAAGUAAACAGAGCUUGAUUUUAUUAUAUGACGUCACCGAUCAGCCGGAGAGAGCUAGCGUGCCUUAGCAUGUUAGCUAUGAUCACGCUAACGGUUUGUAUGUAACACAGAAGAGAAUGGACAUUGUCCAAACAAAAGAUGAGUCUUUAGAAUUAUGUCAUAUUUGAUCUACAGUCCAACCUCUAAGCAGGACUGUUACUUCAGUAGAUAAUGUUAUUCGUGGGGUUUGUGUAACAGAACCCCAUUGGAAUAUCUUUUCCUAACGUUAGUGCUGUGCAGUAAAUAACUAGUCAGCCAUUACUACAUGUUUUACUAAAAGUAAAGUUGUGCAGAAGUUUGUGUUUACUUUUCUAAAUUUGUCCUGUUGAAUGUAGGUCAGAAUAAUAUAUGUUUGUGAAAAUGAUAAUUUUUUUUAGGACUGACAUGCAUUUUCAUAUUACUAGUUGUGCUUAGCCAUUAUUGAUCUAUGUAACAGAAGGUGUAGAGUCUCAACCAACUUGUUGACAUUUUUGUUUAAAAAUGUGUUUUCCAGCUACCGGAAGAAGCAGGCUCCUGAAACUGCAAUUCAGGGAGGUAAUGUGCAGUCAACCUCGACACCCAGUAAGAGAACAGCAGCUAAAAUGUCGCAUUCAUUAUCUCCAAUUGAACCUGUGUCUGAGGGGUUAGUAUCUUUUCUGUAAAACAAAUAUUCACGUUUUUGUGCUAUGAUAUUUCAUACAUUAAAUUACACCUUGCAUAUCCACACUUGGUUCAGAACUAACAUCACACCACCAAACACUUCUGACAUUAUCUUUACAGGGAAGAUUUUCUAAUGGCUGGUGUUGAGGCGCUGAUGACCUAGAUUUGGAUCCUUUUGAAGAAAGUUUCAAAUCCAUGGAUCUAGCUACGGAUGCAGUCCAAAUUGAUGAGGACCAAGCAAACAACUUACUCAACAGUGUGCUGGGAUCCUAAAGGGAAAUUCCAUCCUACUUGUGUGGCUGAAGGACAUCGUCAACCAAUUUUGGUACAUUUGCCAGAAAGCACAACAUCGUGAUAUGUUUAAUUGCCAGCUCUCGUGUUUCUGUUGGUGAGCGCUUCUGUCACAUGUAAAGUUUUCAAAUAAAACUUAUUUUUUCUGUUAGGACAUGUGGGUGGGUGUGCUUCACCAUGUCACAGGGAAGCAUGAAUGGACCCAUGGCAAAUGUGACCAUGGACCACUUGAUGCAACGACCAGUGAUAAAGAGCUCAUGGUACCAUGAUCUCCACCACACGAGGCUCUUCAACGAAUCAUGUUCAACAGACGCUGGUUGAAGGAUGUCACCAAUCUGACCUUUAGGUAUAUUAAUAACAUUUUCAUAAGCAAAAAAGCUAAAGUGUCAAUAUCAAAGCUGACAAUUUACAUAUAGAAAUGACAAUUGUGGGUGAAAAGGCAAUCAAAAGUGUGAUUCCUAAUAAUCUAUAAAGUUGUAGCUUUUGUUUUUUUACAGGUCAACUUCAGAACUGGAGAGUUUCCAGAAUUGCAUUCUCAUGUAAUCUAUGUAUGAUCUAAUGCUGC